rnacentral:rRNA from 1 species
UACGUAGGGUGCGAGCGUUAAUCGGAAUUACUGGGCGUAAAGUGUGCGCAGGCGGCAAGGCAAGUCGAGUGUGAAAGCCCCGGGCUUAACUUGGGAAUUGCGCUCGAAACUACUUUGCUGGAGUGUGGCAGAGGAAGGUGGAAUUCCACGUGUAGCGGUGAAAUGCGUAGAGAUGUGGAGGAACACCAAUGGCGAAGGCAGCCUUCUGGGCCAACACUGACACUGAGGAGCGAAAGCCAGGGGAGCAAACGGG